rnacentral:lncRNA from 1 species
CCCACUUGUUAAGAAAAUCGGACGAGUAAAUCCAAAUUAUACAGUUAAUUUCUAAAAACAAAAAAGGUAAAUAAUAGAAAGUUUUAAAUUCACAAAUGAAGUUUAUUUUCAUAAUGGAUAAUGAAAAAAUUUUAGUAUGAUAGUAGUUUACACUUUUCUCUGAUAUAAACCCAUCAUUGGAGUGCAAACAACUAUAAUUUGUAGGUGUGAACCCUUAAAAUUUUAAGAUUAUUUCAAAUUAUCAGCGUAAUAUGAGAGUUUCUUGAGAUUUUUGGGGGUCCGACAGUUCUCCUAUUCCUGAUGAUCUCGAGGUUAGGCCACUAAUUGCCAAUUAAUUUUUGGUUGGAAGCCGAUAAUAUAUUUUAGUGAAUAAAAGCCAUCUAAGAUCUACGUUAUUCUGUUCACAUUCAUGUGUAGCUAUAUAUAUGUAUUCUUCUUAGUUUGUAUGAGAUAUAGAUUGUGGAAAGAAUGAACGCAUGAGCUAUUCUAUAAGGUAAAGCAAAUGAUGGGAUGCAAUAGCACAGAUUAACAGUCAACGAGUAGGCAUUACUUACUUCAACAAGCACUUGAUCUACUAAUUGUAGAACUGGAUCAAAGACGCACAUAAUACUUGCUGAGCUUCUGAGCUCCCUUUGAAAAUGGGGUUCUGAGAAGCCAUUUUGUUUGUUCUAAGCUUUAAAAUUGAAAAGAAAGGCAUUGGAACAUUUUGUGUAUAAACUGUAUAUAGUUGGACGUAAGUUAAGAAGAAGUCUUUCUUUCCUCGCAAGGACUUCUCCAUUGGCUUAAAAAAAUCUCAGUUAAUGCGUUAUCAAGACUUGGUCAUGAUCUAAUCAAACCAUUUGUUUUAUGAUUGAUUAUACAUCAAUAACCAUAUUAACAAAUUACAUUGGUAACAAAUAUAGUUAUCGAUGUUUAAUCAAUCUGAUUUCUUUUUCAUAAUUGGUCUAUUAGAUGGGCUUUACGAAAUGGCCGAUUCUUAUCAUGUCAUUGGAUCCUUAAUAGAACCAAUAUCGCUAGGGCAGCACUGUAUUAUGCCAUGCACAUACUCCAAAUCCGCCAAGGACUUAGUGCCCACGAAGAUUUGAGAUUUGUGCAACGUGCUGUGAUAACGAUAUGAUCUGAAUCGUUCAUCUUGUAGAACUCACUAAAUACGUAACACAUACAAAAAGUCAAAUUGUUUGCACAAUGGGAUCCAUAUAAUUAGAAUAUAUUUGUGUUAUAGUUCAAUUCUUAAAAUUAUAGUUGUCAUCCAUUUUUCGAAAUAAAUAUGAUCUAAUUACAUAGUUAUAAAUGUUUGAUGAAUCUGAUUUCUCUAAAACAUAUAUAAUUCUUUAUGAGGGUACACGUGUCAAAUAGGCUUAAUUUUUUGUAGCAACAUAAUUUUAUAGUUUUUAUGUAAUUGUAAUUUUUACAUUAAAUUUUUUUUUCAUGCAUAAUCUGGGCAUUACAUAGCAUAAAAAUAACUAAGGGAAUGACAAACAAAUGGGCCUAACUGUGGGCCUAGACAAGCCGAUUGUACCGUCUUUAUGUGAUUUGGAGGUUUCCUAUUUUCUUCCUUUGUUUUUUAUGCUUUUGAUUUAUUUAUUUUUGUAGGACUUUUGAAAACCAUUGUGAAGUUUAAAACACUGAUCUUUCCGUUAUUAUUUUACGUUUUUUUAAAAAAAGCUCUGGAAAUUUUGAAUAUCUUUUUACUAUUUUUUGAAAAUAAGUUGUUAUUCAAAAUUUUCUCCAAAAUAUUUCCUUAAAAAUUUCAUGGAAGAAAUUGGAAGUGUUUGUUAUAAAUAAAAAAAUAAAAAUGAGAACAAACAUGAAUUACAUUUCCAUUUUUUGCUAACUAGACCAUUAUACUCAAUAAAUUAGUCUCUCAAUUCAAUUCAAUAGAGCAAAAAUAACAAGACUCAUGUGAGAUCACCUCUGUAGAUACAUUAAAGUUUGAUGUCAUAAUCUUACUUUUUCUAACAAGCACGGCUACAGUUAUACAAUCAAGUGAAUCUAAACUGCUCAUUUUAAAUUUUAAAAAAUGGUUUAAAUAGUCGAACUGCAAGAUUUUCUCUUACACUGGUUUUGAAACGGUACCUUGUUGUAAUACAGUACUGUAGAUCAUUGUUUAAACUUGUUGUUUUAUUAAUUGCCUUUUAAUAAGCGACUUUACAAUACUUUGACAAUUGGAGAUCUCUUCAUUGUCAAAAAUUGGAUUUGAAAAGAAAAAUGGCAAGUUUGGGGGAGAUGCUUUAACAUUACAAAAUUGCCCUUUAUAAUACAAAAACCACACCCGCCGGCCGGCCAGGCUCUUUCCAUGCCCCAUAACUAACUUAUGUUGUAGAACCAAAUUAAAGCCACGGUACUAUCAUACCACCAUAUUUUAUGAUUUUUUUUUUAAUACCUUCUUCAUGUAUGAGAGAGGGAGAGAGCAAAGGAAUAAUGAUGUUGUGGGGUUGAGGGAGGGGGAUCGGGUCACUGCAGCGAAACGACGUCGUUUGGCGUGAGUUCAGUCCAAAAC